rnacentral:pre_miRNA from 1 species
CGUGUACUGGUGGGGUCCCUCGGCCUGGCCUGUACCCUCUCACAAUCUAGGACCCCUUGGGGAAUGUCAGAGAGCCAGUUUCAGCCUGAUCCCACAGGCCAGGCCGAGGGACCCCACUAGUGCACA